AUCAAACCUGCAUCCUCAUGGAUACUAGGCAGUUUCGUUACCACUGAGCCAUAAUGGGAACUCCACACCAAGCCACAUUCUUGUUGGGUCUUUUGUUACAGCAGCUUAGCUUACACUGACUAAUAAUAAUUGGUUCCAAUAGAUCAAACAUCAUGUAUUCCUGUAUCCAUGACUCCUCUUGGGGCAGCAGGCUUGCUAGGGAAGGACUCAACAAUUCUCAAAUCCCAUAAGAACAACCAUCAUAAAGGUUCAGUCUGACUCAUCCUAAAUUUAAAAAACCCCCAGCAUUUUGUGAGCUUCUACCCCAAAAUGUUUUGCAUUACCUUUUCACAAUGUGGGGCUCUAAAGACUACAUCUGGCUAAAUGAUCUCCUGUCUGACAUGCUAUUCAAAGUUCUUCCUGAUAUUAAAGUUUCACACAAACAUAUCUUGACCUUUGAACCAAGACGUUGCUGAAGUUCACGUAGCUAAACUCCCAGUCCACUUGUAAAGCAGCAGAAAAAAUACCUUCAAGUAUUUGAUCAUCAUAAUAAAAUAUUCAAAUUAAUAAUGAAAUAUUUAAAUUCCUAUUAAUCAAAAACUUUAAAAAUAUCACACCCCAGAGCACUGUCCUGACAAAAUAAGAGGACCAGUUCUUGGAGCCACGAUGGAUUCAUCUAAGACAAAUAACUUGGCUAACUCUGACAGUUUGCACUGAGCUGAACUCUCAGUCUUAGUCUCCUGACCUGGAGCCUUCCCUCUGAAGGCUCUCAGCACCAUGUCAAGGCAGGGACGGGGGAGAGGAGAAGAAAGCAGAUCUGUUUGUCGUGAAUUGUGUAUUAUCUGGCACCAAGGCUCCAUGAGCAAAGUUGCUGCCCUUAGUGGAUUUACAAUUGAGAAGGAAAGAUGCUUGCUUGAGUCUCAAUUCCUCCAGGAAGCCUUUCCUAAUCCCUCAGACUUGAAACUCUGGGUUAAAUCCAUUUCGCCUUCCCCAAUCAAGGGUGUUUUAAGACUUGCAGGUGCUCCAGGCGGCAGGUAUCCUGAGCAGUUAAGAUGUUCGCCCAAGUUGUCUUCUGGGAACUUGAAGUCAGCUGUGUCCAGUUCAAGCUGAGCUGGGUAAGACUAGAUGGGACCGACGACCCUUCAACCCAGCAGGUGAGAGGGUCCCCGUGACCUUGAGGACGUGCUGAGGCUCGUGGCUUAGUCACGCUUGCGCAGAGCAAUGGUUAUCACACCUUUUCCCAAUCACCUUUCCCUGUGCUCCCCACGUGCAGACCACCCUGCUUUUUUUUGUUUUCUUCCUAUAAGUACCUGGAGCUCCUUGCCUGUGGGGAGCUGGGCCUGAGGUUGGUUUUUCUGUCUCCUUGCCUGGCUGCUUGCCUCGUGGUUAACCUUUUGGAGGGUGGGUGGUCCCUUUGAGGACCAGAGAUUGAAGAUCUUCAUGCCAAAGGAUGGACCUCUGGGAAGCUGAACUCGUGUGACCCAACACAGCAUGUAGCACAUGGGUGUCCAACUGCUAUCUGUGAAUUACAUGCUUAUAAAAGUAUAACUGGCAUCUAUCAAAGCAACGCCACACAAAAGUUUGCUGCGCGCGUCGUACCAGGAGCGGUCACUCCAACAAUGCCUCUGGUCCCAAGGGGCACAGGUUCACCUAUGAAAGAGGAAAGAAAUGGAUGGGGGCAAGGUGGAGAUGGCGAGAGAGAGGAUGAAGAGAAAGGAUGGCAAAGCGACGUGCGAAGCUGUGGUCUCCGAGUCAGAAUCCAAGGCAAGAGAACCUCGCCUUCUUGGACGGCAUCAGUGUAACGGGCAGAGAUGGGGCGGAGAGCCUGCGGUUUACGGAGUCGACAGGCCGCACUUCGUUCAAUGAGAGGUGGUUUUCGCAGGCCUGUGGUCGUCGAGGCGUUUCUGCCCCUUAUCUCUUAGCUAUGGCCCUGAGAUCUCCAGCUGAGGUCCCUCAAUUUCCUUUUUUUCAUAGUUCAUGGGCUCUGGGGAGCAUUCUUUCGUGCAUUCAAUUCCAUGAAUCCUGGGAGAUGCCAAAAGAAACUUCAAAGCGUUCCUGCCCUCCAAGAGCCCGCAAUCUAAUUACGGGGGGUGGGGGUCCGAAAAGCCCCAGCUAACUGCAAACACACCCGUCAAAUCGACAGUCCCCCAAACAGCCCAUCGACUAACACGAGAGAGGCGGGAGCGCGGAGGUGCUUGUGAGGUGGGGGGGUGGCAUCCACGUGCGUGACCACCGCCGUCACUGAGAACGCGGGAUCCUGUUCGAGUUUGCCCCAUCCACGCUGUGAAAACAGUCUUAGUUCUCUCAAACUGGUGUGCAGGCCGCGCUGCUGCAGGUUCUAUGAAAUCGACAGGUGCAUCCUGUUAUUGCGAGGAGGAGUUGAUUUUCUGCCGCUUGUAAUUUCCACCCGAUCUCACUAGUAGAAGGGCAUCUCGGAAAACCAAAGUCCACCGUGAAUCACGCGCCUCGCCCCAGCUCGCGUGUCUCGUUUCCAAGGAGCUCUUUGACUGCUAUGAAUUGCCCCACCCAGUAAGAUCCUCGGAGAGAACCGUCGUCGGUCUGUGUGAAUCAAAAACCGAGUCCUCCAUCUCUAGCGGUUAAAAAUGGACCUGGCUAUUAAUUGUUUUGCAGUUAAUGGUGACUAGUCCUGUUGGAUGUUGCAGAGGUUAUCAGAAAGUUAGAGCUCUUUGUAUGUGAGAGCAGGAUGGGUUUGCAAGGUGUUACUCAAGAAAAGCCCUUGUCUCUCUUUUUU